CGCUAUCACUCCUACGGGGAGGCAGCAGUGGGGAAUAUUGCACAAUGGGGGAAACCCUGAUGCAGCCAUGCCGCGUGUGUGAAGAAGGCCUUCGGGUGUAAAGCACUUUCAGUAGGGAGGAAGGUAGUGUAGUUAACACCUGCAUUAUUUGACGUUACCUACAGAAGAAGCACCGGCUAACUCCGUGCCAGCAGCCGCGGUAAUACGGAGGGUGCGAGCGUUAAUCGGAAUUACUGGGCGUAAAGCGCAUGCAGGCGGCCUGUUAAGUCAGAUGUGAAAGCCCGGGGCUUAACCUCGGAAUUGCAUUUGAAACUGGCAGGCUAGAGUCUUGUAGAGGGGGGUAGGAAUUUCAGGUGUAGCGGUGAAAAUGCGUAGAGAUCUGAAGGAAUACCAGUGGCGAAGGCGGCCCCCUGGACAAAGACUGACGCUCAGAUGCGAAAGCGUGGGGAGCAAACAGGAUUAGAUACCCUGGUAG
rnacentral:rRNA from 1 species